AACGCGAAGAACCUUACCAAGGCUUGACACCCCCUUGACCAGUGCAGAGAUGCACUCUUCUCUUCGGAGACAAGGGUGACAGGUGGUGCAUGGUUGUCGUCAGCUCGUGUCGUGAGAUGUUGGGUUAAGUCUCGCAGCGAGCGCAACCCUUAUCCUUAGUUGCCAGCAGGUAAAGCUGGGCACUCUAAGGAGACUGCCGAUGAUAAAUCGGAGGAAGGUGGGGAUGACGUCAAAUCAUCAUGCCCCUUAUGUCUUGGGCUACACGCGUGCUACAAUGGUCGGUACAAAGGGAAGCGAAGUAGAGAUAUGGAGCAAAUCCCAAUAAACCGAUCCCAGUUCGGAUUGUAGGCUGCAACUCGCCUACAUGAAGUCGGAGUUGCUAGUAAUCGCGAAUCAGAACGUCGCGGUGAAUGCGUUCCCGGGUCUUGUACACACCG
rnacentral:rRNA from 1 species